UACGGGGGGGGCAAGCGUUGUUCGGAAUUACUGGGCGUAAAGGGCGCGUAGGCGGCCUACUAAGUCGGACGUGAAAUCCCUCGGCUCAACCGGGGAACUGCGUCCGAUACUGGUGGGCUCGAAUCCGGGAGAGGGAUGUGGAAUUCCAGGUGUAGCGGUGAAAUGCGUAGAUAUCUGGAGGAACACCGGUGGCGAAGGCGGCAUCCUGGACCGGUAUUGACGCUGAGGCGCGAAAGCCAGGGGAGCAAACGGG
rnacentral:rRNA from 1 species